UGGGGNNNAUUNNNNAAUGGGCGAAAGCCUGAUCCAGCCAUGCCGCGUGUGUGAAGAAGGCCUUUUGGUUGUAAAGCACUUUAAGUGGGGAGGAAAAGCUUAUGGUUAAUACCCAUAAGCCCUGACGUUACCCACAGAAUAAGCACCGGCUAACUCUGUGCCAGCAGCCGCGGUAAUACAGAGGGUGCAAGCGUUAAUCGGAAUUACUGGGCGUAAAGCGCGCGUAGGUGGUUAUUUAAGUCAGAUGUGAAAGCCCCGGGCUUAACCUGGGAACUGCAUCUGAUACUGGAUAACUAGAGUAGGUGAGAGGGGAGUAGAAUUCCAGGUGUAGCGGUGAAAUGCGUAGAGAUCUGGAGGAAUACCGAUGGCGAAGGCAGCUCCCUGGCAUCAUACUGACACUGAGGUGCGAAAGCGUGGGUAGCAAACAGGAUUAGAUACCCUGGUAGUCCACGCCGUAAACGAUGUCUACCAGUCGUUGGGUCUUUUAAAGACUUAGUGACGCAGUUAACGCAAUAAGUAGACCGCCUGGGGAGUACGGCCGCAAGGUUG
rnacentral:rRNA from 1 species